GCUGAUUGGAGGCCGGGAGACGCACAGAAGAAUCAUUGGAAGAUGGAGGCGGUGAAGCUAACAGAAUCCAUCAGUUGAUGUGAGGGUUUUCACACCAUGUGUGAUAUUGCAGUACACAUCCCCAUCAGCCUGGACAGAUAGAGGACAAACGGAGAACAGGACCAGUUUCUUACUGUUAAUACUGCAACAACAAUCCUCUGUUGAAAUACACAAAGGAAAUCUUAUUAGCACUAUGCAAACUUUUUAAACCACUCCUUAUCCCAUUUUAUUGGAUUCCAAGUAGUCCAAAUUUGUUGUAAAUUCAUCUCUUCAAGCUUUCUUAAAUUCUAUCAGUGUUUUUCUUUGAACUUUAUCUGCUUUUUCACACACUUUCUGUCUGCUUCUUGUACCUAAUCAGGUGUUGUUUGUUUAAACAUUGUUUUCAAGAGGUCUAACCUCUUGAAAACAGGAAAUACGAAAAAAGCAUCACACAUUUUUAGCAAAUAGCCUAUUUGAACCAUUUUGUUGGAGCUGAAGUAAUAAUUAUUUGCACAUUUCUAGACAUUUCAAGUCUGUUAUUUAUUCUCUACUUUCAUCACUCUGUUAAAGUAUGUAUUUUUACUUAUUAAUGUAUUUUAUUAAUUGUAUCUCCAAUUUUCAUUCAUUGGAAAACUCUUAAUUUCACUUUUGUUUUAAAGAAACAUGUGUUUCAUAACAUUUUAUGUCUUGUAGUUGAUGUCUGGUAUUUUUAUAGAUUUUUUUAUAGAUUUUUUGAUAGCAAUAAAAGAUGCCAUUUAAAAUUG